CCUAGCCGUAAACGAUGGGCACUAGGUGUGGGGGGCUAUCCACUCCCUCCGUGCCGAAGCUAACGCAUUAAGUGCCCCGCCUGGGGAGUACGGCCGCAAGGCUAAAACUCAAAGGAAUUGACGGGGGCCCGCACAAGCGGCGGAGCAUGUGGCUUAAUUCGAUGCGACGCGAAGAACCUUACCUAGGCUUGACAUGUAGGGAAAUCCCGUAGAGAUACGGGGUGCUUCGGCGCCCUACACAGGUGGUGCAUGGCUGU
rnacentral:rRNA from 1 species